GGCUUUCAACUCCGUCUCCCGAAUCCAGGAAACAGAUCAAUACUGAAAACACUGCUCAAGACAACUACCUUUAUAAGCUUGCUGGCCUGAGACCUGGAAUCUGGAAGCCAGACCAAACACAACCUUUUGAAGUCCUGCAGCCCCCAGACUGUGGGUUUUUACUUGCUUCCACCUAGCUGUCUGACUUUCAGACCUCCUGCCUCUGCUGGCCCCAUUAGCUGUGCUCUAGUUCGACCCUGACGUCUGAAGUUCAGGCCACUGCUGCUUACUGCUUGGUGUUGACUGGCUGGAUUUGAGUGGAGGAGCAUGAUGAGCACAAUGUGGUCCUCAACGCACAGCCAUUUGGAGGCCAAAGGAG
rnacentral:lncRNA from 1 species